UGCCGGUGCCAGCUCUUACCCAGACUUGGUUUAACUCUGGCAUUAGCUAAGAACCGACAAACUCAUAGCUGGAAACCAAACCAGCUCACCUGUAUGUUAGUUUUGUUCAAAAUAGGUAUUAGUCUUAUAAGAAUGUGUUUAGUGUUUAGACUGUGUGAAAUGCUUGUCAGUUGCUGCAGGCAUUGAUUCCCUUGCGAUGUCUGUAUUCCAUGCUAUAAACAAAUAUGUAAGCUUUGCUUUAUA